rnacentral:lncRNA from 9 species
CCUCAUUCUACCCUUCACAGAGCAUGCCUUCCUUAUAUUUCACACUUUGCACAUAAUAUACCUUCUGCUUGGAAAGUAGUUCACGUAUCACCUCUUCUGUGAGAUCCUUCUGGUUUAUCAAACUGGAACUCUUUUUAUGUCCCAACUGGCCCUAAAACCCCAAAGUUUGAGAUGGAAAAAACAGAUGUCAAGUUCUGCCAUAUUACAAAAUGGGAUGCUAGACUACAUGUGCUGGGCUUGCAAAGAUGCUCUAAAACCAAUUUUGUGAGUUCAUUAUCUACUUUUAGGAUAUCAAAGAGUUGCAGAGUCAGAGGAGAAGGGAUGGCCCCGAGAGCACUGACAAUGUGUGUGGUAUGGUCUCUGCCCAGGCCAGCAGCAAGGGAAUGGAGGAGGACUUCCCUCUCUGCACAAGAAGUGAAUCUGGAGAAGAGACACCUGGCGUAUUUAGAGAGCCAAUGGCUCCUUCAUCUCCAAAGGAAUCUUGGGAACUUGCUGCCAUACAGGAUGGUGAUCAGUUGGACUGCUGGAAUGCACAGGUUGAUUCCCUAAGAUUAUCUUUGGGCUUUGGGGACAUUUGCAUCACAUGUUAAAAACUGGUGAAAAUUCAUUUAAUUUUUUAAUUUUUAAUUUUUUUCUUUUGUCCUUUUAGUGCUGCACCUGUGGCAUAUUCCCAGGCUAGGGGUCUAAUGGGAGCUGUAGCUGCUGGCCUAUGCCAGAGCCACAGCAACGCCAGACCCGAGCUGUGUCUGUGACCUACACCACAGCUCAUGGCGAUCCUUAACCCACUGAGCCAGGCCAAGGAUCAAAGCCGCAACCUCAUGGGUCCUAGUUGGAUUCCUUUCCGCUGCACCAUGACAGGAACUCCUGAAAAUUUAUUUUUAUUUUAAAAUUUCUUACAAGUAUUUCAUCUGUCAUGAGAGAAAAUAAAAAAUUCCAAAGGGAAAAAUGCACACAUUGCUGUGCUCCAUGUCCGAAAAAGCAAAGUGAAUACUUAUCUGCUGCCAAUAUGCUUAAUUAGGGUAGACAAGGGAGGAAACACUUAAAAUUAUGGUUUUGAAAAAAGCCACUGAAGUAAAUAGGCAUGACAUUGAGUGGUCAGACAUCUAUUCCCAAAUUUUUUUUUUUUUUUUUUUUGUCUUUUUAGGGCCAUACCCGCAGCAUAUGGAGGUUCCCAGGCUAGGGGUUGAAUCAGAGCUACAGCUGAUAGCCUAUGCCACAGCCACAGCAACACGGGAUCUGAGCUGUGUCUGCGACCUGUACCACAGCUCACAGCAAUCCUUGAUCCUUAACCCACUGAAUGAGGCCAGGGAUUGAACCUGCUCAUGCAUACUAGUUGGAUUUGUUUCCUCUAAGCCACAAGGGGAACUCCCUGAUUUUUUUUAAUGCAUCUUUUUACUAUGUUUGUUUUAUAAAAAGAGGAACUCAAAGAGACAAAGUGGGCAUUAAGUAUUUUUAUAAAAUAUUCUGUAGAUUUAACAAUGCAGCUCUUUAAAAUUUUUCACUCCUGUAAAACAGAGAGCAAGAUUUUAUUAUUAAUAGCGGACACAACUAUUUUUGGUUCUUUAGGAAUGUUGUUUAAAUUGUCUUCCCUUCUAGCUAAUUUAUUGAUGUAAAAGUAUAUCAGAAGGGAGUUCCCAUUGUGGCUCAGUGGUAAUGAACCUGACUAACAUCCACUGGCUUCGUUCAGUGGGUUAAGGAUCCUGCAUUGCUGUGGCUGUGGUGUAGGCCGGCAGCUGUAGCUCCCAAUGGACCCCGAGCCUGGAAACUUCCAUAUGCCGUGGGUGAGGUCCAAAAAAAGCAAAAAAAAAA